AUUGAACGCUGGCGGCAUGCUUUACACAUGCAAGUCGAACGGUAACAGGCCGCAAGGUGCUGACGAGUGGCGAACGGGUGAGUAAUGCAUCGGAACGUGCCCAGUCGUGGGGGAUAACGCAGCGAAAGCUGCGCUAAUACCGCAUACGAUCUAUGGAUGAAAGCGGGGGACCGAAAGGCCUCGCGCGAUUGGAGCGGCCGAUGUCAGAUUAGGUAGUUGGUGGGGUAAAGGCUCACCAAGCCAACGAUCUGUAGCUGGUCUGAGAGGACGACCAGCCACACUGGGACUGAGACACGGCCCAGACUCCUACGGGAGGCAGCAGUGGGGAAUUUUGGACAGUGGGCGCAAGCCUGAUCCAGCAAUGCCGCGUGCAGGAAGAAGGCCUUCGGGUUGUAAACUGCUUUUGUACGGAACGAAACGGUCCUGGUUAAUACCUAGGGCUAAUGACGGUACCGUAAGAAUAAGCACCGGCUAACUACGUGCCAGCCGCCGCAGUAAUAC
rnacentral:rRNA from 1 species